AAUAAUACAACUCAUCAUGUAGAGCUUGGAGUUUUAUAAUAGUUAGACGAGGUUAAAAUAAGAUAUCCGGUUAUCUUUUAGGUAAACCGAAUAAGUUGAGUUAUGAUUAAGGUGUUUUAGAAACAUAUUGGUUUCUAAACAAGAAUAUGGUUAAAAGGUCGGAUUUGGGGUUCAAACAAGCACUAAUAGUCCUUCGUCGUAAAAGAAUGACUAAAAUUGACUAAAACGCCCUAGUUGGCUAAUUCGAAUAAACAACCUUUAAAGGUAGUUUUGAAACGAGUUUUAUGAUCAAAUAAAUAAUUGAAAUAAGUGCAAGAAGCGAAAGAUGUAAACUUUCGGUCAAAUAACUCUAUAUGAGUCUUUGCCGUAAAUUAGCAAUCGGACGAGAAAAACUCGGAUUAUAUAGAUCAUCUCAUUAAGUCCACCACAAUUAUAGUUGUGGUGGAAUAUUACUGGAUAAGAAUGUUGUAUAUAACGCUAGAAAUGAAUGAAAGCGACUUUAAGCUUUAAAGUGCUUAAAUACCCUUAACGGGUCAAAAUAAGCACUUGAACGUAAACGGGUUCUAACUAAGUAAGAAACCCAUGAUCUAUGAAUUAUUUGAUAGGAAAUAUUGAAAUUAUGAUUCCAUGAGUUUAUGGAUCAAGUAAACAUGUUUGUGUGAUAAAAUCGCGAACGGGUCAAAAUUUGGUAAAAAUGGUAAUAAGCCGAAGACUUAAAAGUCUUAAAUUUUUGUUAAUCCGGAUGUCGGAUUUUAACUCCAUAUGAUGGAGAAUUAAAUUACGGACGCGUAGGAAAAAGAAUCGUGUAAAACGGAUUAAAAACGAGAGAGUUAUGUCCGUUUCGGUAAGAACUAAUGAAAAAUAGACGUGCAGAGUUGACACGGGCGGGUGACUUUUUGACACGGCCGGGUGGCUGGGCUGUGAAAAAUAUAUGUUAACUGACACGGCCGGGUGGCUGGGCUGUGAAAAAUAUAUGUUAACUGACACGGCCGGGUGACUUUUUGACACGGCCGGGUGAAGGGGCUGAAAACAAAACAAAAAUAAUUUCUUGUUUUGUUACGUUAAGCACGGAACUUGUUUAUACUCGAUUAUUAAAGUGUCAAAACUAAUUCUUUACAUGGUUUUGACCGUAGGUGAAGAUGGGAUAAGCGGUUUGAAAGAUACGAAAGUUUUCGUGCAAAUAAACGGCAAAAUAGGAAAGCUGGAAUGCAGGGGCCACCGUAACUUACGGUGCCACCGUAAGUUACGGUGGAGCUGAAGGCUUUACGGCAGCCCCCUACUGACUUACGGUAGGGGCAUGUCACACCAGGGGCCACCGUAACUUACGGUGCCACCGUAAGUUACGGUGGAGGCCAGUUGGAAAUCCAUGUUUUGAGAUCAAAAGUUUAACGUUCUUUUUGGAUGCCUGAAGACGAUCAAGCUCAUCGAAGGACCGAACACGAUAAAGAUACAUGCUUCCGCACAUUUCCUCGUCGUAAAUUUUUAAACGACAAAUUCGAUCACUUAUGUUGAAUAACUUAUGAUUUGUAAAAGUUUUAAUAAACUCGUAUUUUCAUAGUA